GCUACGACUUGAUUCGGCAUUGCAAUUCUAAUCCAGUCAUGGUGUGAAGUACAGGAGGCCCGUUACCAGCAAGAAAGAAGAAGAAACUACAUAUACCUUGGCUUUGUUAAUUGGAUCAUUUACUCCUCUACUGUGAGGGAUGUACAUUUUGUGAUGAAUCAAAUUUUCCCACAUGGAUGCUCAUUUGAGAAAGGGCUUCUACCUGGGCUAGUGACCUUUCCGAUGUUGCAAUGAUCUGGGUGGCUGCCUCUGCUCAGGAAUGGGUCCAUAUGUGGGUUCAGGACGAAGAGGACUUUGACUCCCAACUCUUUCUUGAUCACGGAAUUUCUACUCUUUGAAUGUCAAUAGCCACAAUAGCAGGUCCUCUAUCAUUUCAUAAUGGAAGCAAGGAUGUGCAUCAUGGAACAUAUCACGUGAAAUCCAUAUUAUAUGGUGGUAGAUGAAAGGUGAGCUAUACAAUUAACCAGUUUUCAACUCAUAUAAUUUCUGGCCUUAUGUUUUAGGUUUGAAAUUUGUUUGCUAAUUUUCAUGGUUUAGUGAUAUACAUAUAGGAGAUUGAUGAAUGCAAAAGUGUGCGGAUUUCUUGUCUUAGUGUUUGAAGAGUUUUGUGUCAUGGAAGAGGGGGAAGAGUGUGAUGUUACUACCCAGAGUGGAGGGGAUGAGUCAUGAGAUGAUAAAUGCUUGCUUUUCUUUUUACCAUUUCUAGCCACCCAAUUUGGAAUGACAUUCAAAAAUGGAAAUACCUUAAUUAGUCACCAAUAUGUGCAAGGGAAAAAGAAGAAGAAGAAGGCAAUGAAGCCAUAUUACUAUUGUUUGCUCUAGGCAAUUCAAUUCUGAUUCACCUGAAGAUCUUAGACAAAGUCCUCUACUUGUUACAAAUAGCAUUCGACCAACAGAUUAACAUAUACCUUGUGGGCAGAUUAUUUCUGACGGACAAGGAAGAUAAGAUCAAUCUCAAAUAAGAAACCCCAUCAAGGAUGUCAAGAAUUCAGUUGAGGAAGGAAAUGAACAUGAUCUAGACACUACCACUCACAAAGGAAGUUGAGGAAGAUGAUGCCUCCCAAAUAUAUUAUAUGAUCACAGAAGAAGCUCAUUAAUCUAGUAGCCAGCGAGUAUUUGAAGUUAUAAGCAUGGAGAAUGGUGUAGUGCGCUACAGUGUUGAGUUUUGAAGUGAUGAAGAUCUUUUGACCUCAGAUUUCAUAUAUUGAGGCCCUAAUAUCAUCUAUUUUCUCCUCAACAUCAGGGUUAUUAUGUUGAAGAUAUCAAAUUCUAGCAUGUAGGGAAGUAUAUUUUGUGCUCAAGCAAAUUCUCACACAUGGAUACACUUUCGAGAAAGGCCUACAGAAGAAACUCCUUCAUUUCAUUGUGGCAGUAAAGCUUGCCUAUCGUAUGACACAUGAAAGGUUUAAAAGUUUGAAUCUAGAUGCAAGUAGACUUCUUGUCUUAGUGAUGUGUUUCUUGUCAAUGAAGAUGGCGACAAUUUGGUAAGUACUUCCUAUUUGUUGCAAGCCGUAGUUGCCCAUUGUGAAAAGGACAUCAUAAAGAGUGGAGAGGAGAAGAUAGGACGAGUCCAAAAAUUACUUGAUGUAGGCACUUAAAUGUUAAUUCUUCUAUAGAAUAUUUCUUACUCUUUGGCCCUUGUUCAAUCUCAACCUCAUAUCAUAGGGCUUUUUGUGAAAAGCUCUGUUAUGACUUCAAAAAUGCUGGUAAUACUAUAAGUCAGACCUUGGGGCCAUGGAAAGUGUCCUCUGCUUAAACAAUGUGUAGUUGGGGCGAAAGCAGGAGCCUUGUGCAUUGGUGACAACAAUUCUAUGAGUUUGAAGAAUUUCGUUACAUGGAAGUGCGUGAAGAACACGAGGUGACCAUAAGACAAGAAGAAGCGAUAAAAUACCUUGGCUUUGUUAGCAGGCUUUGGCUUAGAUUUUCUUCUUGACCACUUACAUGGGGUAGCCCGGUUGAUGUUCAAUGCAAGGGCUAAAGCUAAGCUUGUGGCUUUGGAGGUUAGGAUUGCUGACUUGAAGAAGCUGUUGGGGAUGCUGGAGUGAAAUAUUUCGUUACAUGGAAGUGUGUGAAGUGCAUGAGGUGACCAUAAGACAAGAAGAAGCGACAAAUUACCUUGGCUUUGUUAGUUGGAUUAAUCUUCUAUUAUUUCGGGAAGUACAUUUUGUGAAGAAGCCAAUUGUCACUCAUGGAUGCACAUUUUAGAGAGUGCUACAGAAGAAACUUCUUUAUCAAAUUUUUUUCAGGGGCUGGCUAUGGUCAUGACCACCUGCCCUUUAUCUGAAGUCCAACCAUGGUUGACUAAUGGAUGCACAUAGACUCAGUUAGACUUCAACCAAUUGGUUUAAUUCAAAACUCUGGUCCAUAUGCCCUAAAUCCCGGCCACUAGGAAAAAGUUAGUCACUUUACAAGAGACCUCAGAGGACGGAGAAAACAUGUUCAGCAAGCACUUGGGUAUGCAAGCAUGGAUUUUGAACUGCCAAAGGAAAUAGGCUUAUCAGUAGUUCAUCUGUGGCAGCUGGGAAUGGUGUCAGUGUCACACCUAUUGGACAUGUGGUGCUUUUACUACUCCGCCGAGUUAUUCUUCUAUAGAACGUACAAGGUCUACCUACUACUACAAACUUUUCUUAACAGACGAUCCUGCUGAGUGCUAAGGAAGAAUCUAGCAAAUUUCACUCCAUGGCAGCAAAAGUAAAUAAACAUAUUACAACAC